GGAUGUGAAGUCUUGCUACAUCUGUCAUCUCAUUGAUCUCAUCUCAUUGAUUGCUAGGAUUGAUUCAGCAGAUCUGGCUCACUAGGCAGGUGUCCCAGCCCUCCCUCACCUUGUGUUACCCCCAAACUGAGGCUGGGUCAAAGAGGAUAACUUUCCUCAAUGGAAAAGAACCACUCUUGGGUCAAAGAUAUUACGAAUAGCUGCUAGAACCUCCAAACAAGCUCUGAAGGUCCAUUUGUUGAGAACGUAGAUUUCCAAGACUCCAGGUACAAGCAAAUGAGGCACUGCCUGUGGCAGUUUACCUUUCUUU
ensembl:misc_RNA 7SK 7SK RNA